rnacentral:rRNA from 1 species
AGUGAACGCUGGCGGUAUGCCUAACACAUGCAAGUCGAACGGCAGCACAGUAAGAGCUUGCUCUUACGGGUGGCGAGUGGCGGACGGGUGAGGAAUACAUCGGAAUCUACGUGUUCGUGGGGGAGAACGUAGGGGAAUUAAUACUAAAUCCGAUAAGAGGUUACGGGGGAAGGAAGGUAGGGUCGGGAGCUUUGGGGUUGGAUGAGGCGAUGUCGGAUUAGCUAGUUGGUGGGGUAAAGGCCCACCAAGGCGACGAUCCGUAGCUGGUCUGAGAGGAUGAUCAGCCACACUGGAACUGAGACACGGUCCAGACUCCUACGGGAGGCAGCAGUGGGGAAUAUUGGACAAUGGGCGCAAGCCUGAUCCAGCCAUACCGCGUGGGUGAAGAAGGCCUUCGGGUUGUAAAGCCCUUUUGUUGGGAAAGAAAAGCAGCAGGUUAAUACCCCGCUGUUCUGACGGUACCCAAAGAAUAAGCACCGGCUAACUUCGUG